CUACACGGGUAUCUAAUCCUGUUUGAUCCCCACGCUUUCGUGCCUCAGCGUCAAUACUCGUCCAGAUAGCCGCUUACGCCACUGGUGUUCCUUCCAAUAUCUACGCAUUUCACUGCUACACUGGAAAUUCCGCUAUCCUCUCCGAGAUUCUAGCCUUGCAGUUUUAAGAGCAAUUCCAAGGUUAAGCCCUGGGCUUUCACUCCUAACUUACAAGACCGCCUACGCACGCUUUACGCCAGUGACUCCGAAUAACGCUCGCCCCCUUCGUAUUACCGCGGCUGCUGGCAC
rnacentral:rRNA from 1 species